UACGUAGGGAGCAAGCGUUGUCCGGAAUCAUUGGGCGUAAAGCGCGCGUAGGUGGCCCGGUAAGUCCGCUCUGAAAGUCACAGGCUCAACCUGUGAAAGCGGGUGGAUACUGCCGGGCUAGAGUCCGGAAGAGGCGAGUGGAAUUCCUGGUGUAGCGGUGGAAUGCGCAGAUAUCUGGAGGAAUACCGGUGGCGAAGGCGGCAUCCUGGACCGACAUUGACGCUGAGGAGCGAAAGCUAGGGGAGCAAACGGG
rnacentral:rRNA from 1 species